GCCAGGCGCAGUGGCGCGUGCCUGUAGUCCCAGUUACUUGGGAGGCUGAGGCUGGAGGAUUGCUUGAGCCCAGGCCUUCUGGGCUGUAGUGCGCUAUGCCGAUCGGGUGUCUGCACUAAGUUCGGCAUCAAUAUGGUGACCUCCUGGGAGCAAGGGACCACCAGGUUGCCUAAGGAGGGGUGAACCAGCGGCCCAGGUUGGAAACGGAGCAGGUCAAAACUCCCGUGCUGAUCAGUAGUGGGAUCACGCCUGUGAAUAGCCACUGCACUCCAGCCUGAGCAACAUAGUGAGACCCAGUCUCUU
ensembl:misc_RNA Metazoa_SRP Metazoan signal recognition particle RNA